rnacentral:rRNA from 1 species
UACGAAGGUCCCGAGCGUUAUCCGGAUUUAUUGGGUUUAAAGGGUGCGUAGGCGGGUUAUUAAGUCAGUGGUGAAAGCCUACAGCUUAACUGUAGAAUUGCCAUUGAUACUGAUGAUCUUGAGUAUGAUUGAGGUGGGCGGAAUGUGUCAUGUAGCGGUGAAAAUGCUUAGAUAUGACACAGAAACACCGAUUGCGAAGGCAGCUCACUAAGUCAUAACUGACGCUGA